rnacentral:rRNA from 1 species
AAUAGAUACCCGGGUAGUCCACGCCGUAAGCGAUGAGUGCUAAGUGUUAGGGGGUUUCCGCCCCUUAGUGCUGCAGCUAACGCAUUAAGCACUCCGCCUGGGGAGUACGGCCGCAAGGCUGAAACUCAAAGGAAUUGACGGGGGCCCGCACAAGCGGUGGAGCAUGUGGUUUAAUUCGAAGCAACGCGAAGAACCUUACCAGGUCUUGACAUCCUCUGACAAUCCUAGAGAUAGGACGUUUCCCUUCGGGGAACAGAGUGACAGGUGGUGCAUGGUUGUCGUCAGCUCGUGUCGUGAGAUGUUGGGUUAAGUCCCGCAACGAGCGCAACCCUUGAUCUUAGUUGCCAGCAUUCAGUUGGGCACUCUAAGGUGACUGCCGGUGACAAACCGGAGGAAGGUGGGGAUGACGUCAAAUCAUCAUGCCCCUUAUGACCUGGGCUACACACGUGCUACAAUGGAUGGUACAAAAGGGCUGCAAGACCGCGAGGUUUAGCCAAUCCCAUAAAACCAUUCUCAGUUCGGAUUGCAGG